rnacentral:tRNA from 1 species
GCCCGGUUAGCUCAAUCGGUAGAGCGUGAGACUCUUAGAUACUGAGUACGCGAUCUCAAGGUUGCGGGUUCGACCCCCGCAUCGGGCU